rnacentral:rRNA from 1 species
UGCCAGACUCCUACGGGAGGCAGCAGUGGGGAAUAUUGGACAAUGGGGGGAACCCUGAUCCAGCGACGCCGCGUGAGUGAAGAAGUCUUUCGGUAUGUAAAGCUCUAUCAGCAGGGAAGAAAGAAAUGACGGUACCUGUUUAGAAAGCUCCGGCUAACUACGUGCCAGCAGCCGCGGUAAUACGUAGGGAGCAAGCGUUGUCCGGAAUUACUGGGCGUAAAGGGCGCGUAGGUGGGCGCUUAAGUCAGGUGUGAAAACUCCGGGCUCAACCUGGAGACUGCACUUGAAACUGGGUGUCUUGAGGGCAGGAGAGGAAAGUGGAAUUCCUAGUGUAGCGGUGAAAUGCGUAGAUAUUAGGAGGAACACCAGUGGCGAAGGCGACUUUCUGGACUGUACCUGACGCUGAGGCGCGAAAGCGUGGGUAGCGAACGGGAUUAGAUACCCUCGUAGU